rnacentral:miRNA from 15 species
UGCGCCCAGGGAUAUAAUAGCGG